AGUUCAGUUAGUAAAACCUUGUCACUGCCAGCUCUAAUUCUCGUGAAAAUACACAAAAUACCCGCCGAAUACCUCAAGCCUGACUUCGUAUGUUCACCCUCCAAAUAAUCCACCAAGUAUCAAAAAUCAUUAAAUUAAAGUAAAGUAGAGUUAAUCAAUUUAAGAGCCUAGUAACCACAGAAGAUCCAACACGCGCAAACGGCGUUAAUUACCGUGCGAUGUGCGAUCCGAUGAUCUGGAGGCAUUGUUAGGAAGAUAGUUUGACUGGGGCGAUACUUCUACCAAUACCCAACGUAGGUGCCUCAAGGUGAGCUCAACCAGGACAGAAACCAAAAUUUCAUUUGAAUUUGCUUCUCAUUUAGUACGAAUACAGACUGUGAAAGUGAAAUUUUUCGAUCCUUUUGAUGAUCCGAUAUUCAGAGUAUGAAGCAAAAGGUGAGAAAAGUUACUACUACAGGCAUAACUGGCUUGUGGUAGCCAAGUGGUCUUAGCAACGUAGCUUUUGAUCCUUCUAUGUCUGCUCCUUUUUCUAUCAUUAUGAAUGAGACUUCACCAAGCAUUGGAUUUGUCACCCACUAAUACGGACGUGAGCUGGGCUUCGAAUGUCGUGUGACAGGUUGGCCUAACCCUUCUGUGUUAUCGAUAAGGAGUAAGUUGGUCGUUGCUAUGGUAAUCCUGGUUAGUACGAGCAGAAUCGCCAAUGGUGCGAGGACAUUUUUUUAUGUGCCUGAUCGCGAUCGACCAAUGGUGCGAAGCUACCAUCUGAGGGAUCAAGGCUUAACGCUUCUAAAUCUGAAUAGCGUCCCAAGAUGGCGCAGCGAUACACUACUACGGUCUCCCACAUGAAUAGACAAUUAUAGCACUUCCAUCCACAGGGCUUGCGACGAGGUCAGCCUGCCGCGUCACUCGUGAUUGGUCUGGCAAGAGCAGUACUAAAAGAGAGGCUAUGCGAGUGUAUUUCUGCGCAACAGUACUCG
rnacentral:ncRNA from 1 species